AGCGAACGCUGGCGGCAGGCUUAACACAUGCAAGUCGAGCGGGCACUCUCGGAUGUCAGCGGCGGACGGGUGAGGAACGCGGGGGAACGGGCGCACUGGUUCGGAAUUACUCUGGGAAACUGGAGCUAGUACCGGAUACUCCCCUAUGAGGGGAGGCGUGCUGCCGGAGGAAGCGCGGGCGUCUGCUUAGCUGGGUGGUGGGGUAACGGGGUCCCAAGGCGGCGAGUUGGAGCGGGUCUGAGAGACUGAUCAGCCACACUGGGGCUGAGACACGGGCCAGACUCCUAGGGGAGGGGGGCGUGGGUAAUAUUGGACUAUGGGGGCAGUGCUGAUCCAGCCCUGCCGCGUGAGUCAUGAAGGCGUUAGGGUUGUGAAGCUGUUUUAUCCGGGACGAUAAUGACGGUACCGGAGGAAUAAGCCCCGGCUAACUUCGUG
rnacentral:rRNA from 1 species